rnacentral:rRNA from 1 species
GAUGAACGCUAGCUACAGGCUUAACACAUGCAAGUCGCGGGGCAGCAUGGGGGUUGCUUGCAAUCCCCGAUGGCGACCGGCGCACGGGUGAGUAACGCGUAUCCAACCUGCCCUUCACCACGGGAUAACCCGGCGAAAGUCGGACUAAUACCGUAUGUUUUCCAUUGACGGCAUCCGAUUUGGACGAAAGGCUUGGCGGUGAGGGAUGGGGAUGCGUCCGAUUAGCCAGACGGCGGGGUAACGGCCCACCGUGGCUACGAUCGGUAGGGGUUCUGAGAGGAAGGUCCCCCACACUGGAACUGAGACACGGUCCAGACUCCUACGGGAGGCAGCAGUGAGGAAUAUUGGUCAAUGGGCGUAAGCCUGAACCAGCCAAGUAGCGUGCAGGAUGACGGCCCUAUGGGUUGUAAACUGCUUUUAUGCGGGGAUAAAGUGGCCCACGUGUGGGCUUUUGCAGGUACCGCAUGAAUAAGGACCGGCUAAUUCCGUG